AUAAAAAUAGUUAUUGACUCUCGCCAUACAGCUGCACUUGAAAAAAUAUGUAUAUGUAUGAAACAAAAUACGUUCCCAAACCGACACACGAACACAAAAAUACAGAGACAUAUUAUGAUGACUACAGAUAACAAAAACAACACAGCUGGUAAUUUAUUUGGAUAGAAUUAAUCUUGAAUUUUAAAGCAAAAGUAUUUAAGUGCCUUAAAUACUGUUAGCAGGACACUGCAACGAUGUUAUCUAUAUUUUUUAGUGAAAUUUCGUAAAAAGCGGGAAAAAAAAUCCAUGAUAUUUUGGCAGAUUGGGUGUUUUAAAACCCCAAGAAGAUAAAUACAGAACACAACGCCUGAAAUUUUAUCAGGUAGGGGACGGCUGGUCGAUUACAAUGACCUCAGUCUUCAAAUAGUACUUAUUUUAUCGACUCAGAAAGGAUGGAUUGCAUUGAUGUCGUUUCCCAAUUAGUAUUCAGUUUAUCAACCCAGAAAGGGAUGAAAGACAAAGCCGACUUCGGUGAAAUUUGAACUCAGUGAUAAGAAACUCUCAAUAAAGCUGAACAGCAGUAGGUCUCCAGAGAAGAAACCCCCAUCAGGCAAGUGUUUCAUCCCCUAUCUUCUUACUCUCUAAGGGGACUGGGUAUCUUUCUGAUGACACUUUUUAGCCACUUGGAGACUUAUGCAUUUAGAUCGCCUCGAGAUUUUAUAUGGUUGUAACGCCUUUCAGUUGACUCAGCUUUCAAACUUAUAUUCAAAGAAGAAAUAACGUUGGCUGUCACGGCUGCAGUGAAACGUCAACGCUGUCACCUUGACUCACUGAGAGUUACUUCCCUUAGCGCUAAAACACAAAAAUAUUUCUUUUAAACGGUAUAAAGGGAGUCUUUGUUCCUCCUCGACCAGAUUCAGCUGGAUCAUCUCUUUAUUAUUUCUGAUGUUGCUUUUAGGGCUUUCGUCUUGUUCUUUCCAGAGACUGAGAGCUGUUUCAUUAGAUCGUAAGCAGUAUUGCCCACAAAACAUCUGACUCCAACCUCAAUGACGAGUACCUUGAUCUGGAAGUUCGCUUCCUUCAGGCUGUUGGCCUCAAUGGCUUGUUUUUCAGUGUGCUUCUUCCAUUCUAAUUUCAAACGGCACGGUGAGUUCAAUCAAAAGCAGUUGCUUUAAUGAAAUGGAAUGGAGUACUCUUCCUGAUAAUUUCUGAUUGUUUUGAUGAUCCUGUGAGGUUGGUUCCCAGUCAUCCUCACACCCAGAAGACUCCAUUCCCGUGCCCCAUAUGGCAUAGCUGUUCGUGGCCAUAAUUUGCUGCCUUCUGACGCUAGAAUAUUGUUGGAGAUUCUGGUUUUAUUCUCGAUGUACUUAUCGUGCGUACGAUCUCCUUAAGCACUUGAUUGUGCCUCCACGUAACCAGAACAUGUUUCAUCGUCUACCUACCCCGACAGAGUUGGCAUUCAGGAUUAUCUGGUUUGCACCACUUCACUAGAUUCAUAUUCGAAGGCAGAAGAUCAUAGACAGAGCUGAAGAUAAAGCUUAUUCUAAGAGGUGCCAUACGCCUCAAAUCGUUCCACCUAAGUCGCUUUUUGAGUGCACCUUCUCACAUCGUUCCUCUUGGCUCUGCUCUACUACCUUCCAGAAGAAAUGGCGCAAAGCAUUUUGUCUGAUGUGCUAACAAUUCAGCCAGCGUGCCACCUUAAUAUAUAAACAUAAAAAUAUCUGCUGAUGUUAUAUAACUUAAUUACUAUUUAAUCCUUUCAUCACUAACAAUGGUGGUGAAGAUGGCCAUUGAUAUGCAUUCUGACUAAAUGCUCUGAUAAAUACGAUGAUGGUCCUCUCUGAGCAUUAUUUCUAGAAGGUAAAUUUGAGAGUCCUGCAAGGAUUCUGACUGCAUGUGUGCUAGAUGAUCCCAUUCGAUUAUCAAAUAUAUUGGUUUAUGUGCAUUAGGGAGAGCUGCUCCUCGUACUACUUUCUAGUGGCACGUCCACUUGCUAAGCAUAUGUGACUGUCCCCUCAGCUGUCAUAUGCUAAGCAUAUGUGACUGUCCCCUCAGUUUUAUUGGUAGUCUUUUUGUGAAAUGGGAAGAGGGGGAUUUUUCUUUUCAUUUCUCUGAAAUUUGUAGAGCGUGAUGUUGAAACACGAACCUAUUUUUGCCAUUUCUAUCUUAGCAACAAAAGAACCUACGCAGUAAAAUGCCUAGUAUCUGAUCGAUAUUACAUUUUAUUUAUUGCUUUAUUGUUUUAAAGAGAGAACGAAAAAAUAAAGAAUUGACGAUCCGAAAUCCUGGAGACAUGUGAAAUGUUUGCUUUAAAGAGGUGAAGUGACAGAGUAAAGAGUAUCAAACUGAAACAAUGCAACGCUGAGUUAUGCAUCAAUGGCUGCAACUUUAUGGAGUUUACAGUCUAAGAUAAAGGACAAGAGGAGGUUCGUAUCUCAUAAAUAUUCAAAAAGAAUCAUUUACCCCCACAGAGAAACAACAAAACACUAUUCAUAAAAGGGUCAUCAGUCGGCAGCAGCUGUAGAAGUUAUUACUACAUUUACCCAUCAAAUGGAGCAAAAUAAAAAUUCUGUUAAACCAAGAGUAAA